rnacentral:rRNA from 1 species
AAGUCGAGCGAACGGAUGAGAAGCUUGCUUCUCUGAUGUUAGCGGCGGACGGGUGAGUAACACGUGGAUAACCUACCUAUAAGACUGGGAUAACUUCGGGAAACCGGAGCUAAUACCGGAUAAUAUUUUGAACCGCAUGGUUCAAAAGUGAAAGACGGUCUUGCUGUCACUUAUAGAUGGAUCCGCGCUGCAUUAGCUAGUUGGUAAGGUAACGGCUUACCAAGGCAACGAUGCAUAGCCGACCUGAGAGGGUGAUCGGCCACACUGGAACUGAGACACGGUCCAGACUCCUACGGGAGGCAGCAGUAGGGAAUCUUCCGCAAUGGGCGAAAGCCUGACGGAGCAACGCCGCGUGAGUGAUGAAGGUCUUCGGAUCGUAAAACUCUGUUAUUAGGGAAGAACAUAUGUGUAAGUAACUGUGCACAUCUUGACGGUACCUAAUCAGAAAGCCACGGCUAACUACGUGCCAGCAGCCGCGGUAAUACGUAGGUGGCAAGCGUUAUCCGGAAUUAUUGGGCGUAAAGCGCGCGUAGGCGGUUUUUUAAGUCUGAUGUGAAAGCCCACGGCUCAACCGUGGAGGGUCAUUGGAAACUGGAAAACUUGAGUGCAGAAGAGGGAAGUGGAAUUCCAUGUGUAGCGGUGAAAUGCGCAGAGAUAUGGAGGAACACCAGUGGCGAAGGCGACUUUCUGGUCUGUAACUGACGCUGAUGUGCGAAAGCGUGGGGAUCAAACAGGAUUA